rnacentral:rRNA from 1 species
AUGAACGCUGGCGGCGUGCCUAAUACAUGCAAGUCGAGCGAACAGACGAGGAGCUUGCUCCUUUGACGUUAGCGGCGGACGGGUGAGUAACACGUAGGUAACCUACCUAUAAGACUGGGAUAACUUCGGGAAACCGGAGCUAAUACCGGUUAAUAUUUCGAACCGCAUGGUUCGAUAGUGAAAGAUGGCUUUGCUAUCACUUAUAGAUGGACCUGCGCCGUAUUAGCUAGUUGGUAAGGUAACGGCUUACCAAGGCAACGAUACGUAGCCGACCUGAGAGGGUGAUCGGCCACACUGGAACUGAGACACGGUCCAGACUCCUACGGGAGGCAGCAGUAGGGAAUCUUCCGCAAUGGGCGAAAGCCUGACGGAGCAACGCCGCGUGAGUGAUGAAGGUCUUCGGAUCGUAAAACUCUGUUAUUAGGGAAGAACAAACGUGUAAGUAACUGUGCACGUCUUGACGGUACCUAAUCAGAAAGCCACGGCUAACUACGUG